AGCGGCAGACGGGUGAGUAACGCGUGGGAAUCUACCUUGAGCUACGGGAUAACAGAGAGAAAUUUCUGCUAAUACCGUAUGUGGCCUUUGGGCGAAAGAUUUAUCGGCUUAAGAUGAGCCCGCGUUGGAUUAGCUGGUUGGUGGGGUAAAGGCCUACCAAGGCGACGAUCCAUAGCUGGUCUGAGAGGAUGAUCAGCCACACUGGGACUGAGACACGGCCCAGACUCCUACGGGAGGCAGCAGUGGGGAAUAUUGGACAAUGGGCGCAAGCCUGAUCCAGCCAUGCCGCGUGAGUGAAGAAGGCCUUAGGGUUGUAAAGCUCUUUCACCGGUGAAGAUAAUGACGGUAGCCGGAGAAGAAGCCCCGGCUAACUUCGUGCCAGCAGCCGCGGUAAUACGAAGGGGGCUAGCGUUGUUCGGAUUUACUGGGCGUAAAGCGCGCGUAGGCGGAUAGAUAAGUCAGAGGUGAAAUCCCGGGGCUCAACCCCGGAAUUGCCUUUGAUACUGUUUAUCUUGAGUGCAGAAGAGGUAAGUGGAAUUCCGAGUGUAGAGGUGAAAUUCGUAGAUAUUCGGAGGAACACCAGUGGCGAAGGCGGCUUACUGGUCUGCAACUGACGCUGANGCGCGAAAGCGUGGGGAGCAAACAGGAUUA
rnacentral:rRNA from 2 species